rnacentral:rRNA from 1 species
UAGCCGUAAACGAUACUCGCUAGGUGUCGGCCACGGUGCGACCGUUGUCGGUGCCGUAGGGAAGCCGUGAAGCGAGCCACCUGGGAAGUACGGCCGCAAGGCUGAAACUUAAAGGAAUUGGCGGGGGAGCACAACAACGGGUGGAGCUUUGCGGUUUAAUUGGAUUCAACGCCGGAAAUCUUACCGGGACCGACAGCAACAUGAAGGCCAGGCUGAAGACUUUGCCGGAUUAGCUGAGAGGUGGUGCAGUGGCGUAGUCGUGU